AGAUUGAACGCUGGCGGCAGGCCUAACACAUGCAAGUCGAGCGGCAGCACGGGUACUUGUACCUGGUGGCGAGCGGCGGACGGGUGAGUAAUGCCUAGGAAUCUGCCUGAUAGUGGGGGAUAACGUUCGGAAACGGACGCUAAUGCCGCAUACGUCCUACGGGAGAAAGUGGGGGAUCUUCGGACCUCACGCUAUCAGAUGAGCCUAGGUCGGAUUAGCUAGUUGGUAGGGUAAAGGCCUACCAAGGCUACGAUCCGUAACUGGUCUGAGAGGAUGAUCAGUCACACUGGAACUGAGACAGGUCCAGACUCCUACGGGAGGCAGCAGGUGGGAAUAGUUGGACAAGUGGGGCACAAGCCUGACUCGAGCCAUACCGCGUGGGUAGAAGAGGCCGUUGGUAGUAACGUCCCGUUUUGUAGGAAG
rnacentral:rRNA from 1 species